CCUACGGGAGGCAGCAGUGGGGAAUAUUGCGCAAUGGGCGAAAGCCUGACGCAGCGACGUAGCGUGAGGGAUGAAGGUCCUCGGAUCGUAAACCUCUGUCAGCAGGGAAGUAAGGUCACUGUGCUAAUCAGUAGUGAAUUGACGGUACCUGUAAAGGAAGCACCGGCUAACUCCGUGCGAGCAGACGCGGUAAUACGGAGGGUGCGAGCGUUAAUCGGAUUUAUUGGGCGUAAAGGGAGCGUAGACGGUAUGUCAAGUAAAGGGUGAAAGCGCCGCGCGCAACGGGGGAACUGCAUUUGAUACUGGCAAACUGGAGUGUGGGAGAGGAUAGUGGAAUUCGAGGUGUAGGGGUGAAAUCCGUAGAUAUCUGGAAGAACAUCAGUGGCGAAGGCGGCUAUCUAACACAUAACUGACACUGAGGAGCGAAAGCGUGGGUAGCAAACAGGAUUAGAUACCCGAGUAGUC
rnacentral:rRNA from 1 species